AUGGAUGGACACACACACUCACACACACACACACACACACACACACACACACACGCACGCACGCACGCGCGCGCGGUAUGCAGGCCAGCUGGAGCUGCGGCAGGGGACCCCCACCCACGAGGCCUGCAGGUAGGAAGGGGUGGCAGAGGCCCCGCGUCUCUCGAGCCUGCGCGGACUUCCUCACCCGGGGGUCGGGGGAUGACGCCGCUUCGGCUCCGCUGCAGGACCCUGGGACACCGGCGCGGCCCGUGUCAGCGGAGGGGUCACCCGGCUCGGAGCGGCCCGUGUCAGCGGCGGGGUCACCCGGCUCGGCUCGGCUCGGCCCGGCCCGUGUCAGCGGCGGGGUACGAUACGCGCGCAGCAGCGGGGCCGGGGUGGGAGGUGGAAGCCCGCUCCCCCAGCCGCUUCCGGAAGUUUCUUCAGAGGCCGCUCGCAGCCCCCGACCUCAGUCAGCUCAGCUCACCCCCCACGAGGAGUCCCCAGUGGCGGGAAGCCGAGACUGGAGGGGCCGACGCAACGCGACGCGAGGGCGGCGGGAAAACCUGGCGGAGGAUCCGGCCGCGCGUCCGUCCGUCCGUCCGUCCGUCCGUCCGUCGGCGCCUGGCUCGGCCUUGGGGAAGGAAGCAGGGGCCAUGGCUCGCAGGUAGAAAGGCCCGCGCCGCCGAGCGGGGCCCGCGGGCGGGCGGGCAGGCGGGCGGUUUGGGGGCCCGUCCCUCCCUCCGGUGCUGCCGCCGCCGCCGCCGCCGGCCCGGCCAAGGCGGUGACGGUUUCCCGGCUCCCCCGCCCCGGACGCCGAUGGCGGUGCGUUCCGACCUCCCUCCCUCAGUCCCUCCGUCCGUCCCUCCCCCACCGCUUCGCCCCGUGGCCGCCAGAGCCGGUGAAGCCGGGAGGGCGGGGAGCGGCGGAGGGACGGACGGACGGACCGACGGACGGCGGCGAGAGGGCGGAGGUUGCGUGGUGCAGGCGGCGGCGGGAGGAGGAGGAGGAGGAGGAGGAGGAGGAGGAGGGCCGGCAGGCGGGCAGAGGAGGAGGAGGAGGAGGAGGAGCGGGCGCCGUGUCGCACGCAGCUCCAGGCGGGGCAGCCGGGGCGCUGAGGGACGCGGCCAGACCUCGGCGGGCCCCCGCGAGCACUGCACGCCGUCGCCCGAGCGUCGGGGGGCGCCCGGAGAUGCGGCUUUAAAGAACUGUUUUGCCAAAAAGCCAGCCAACUUUAGAUAUGCUAGGAUGCUUCAUCAGUUUGUAAACUGUCUUUCCGGAGCCUUAUGGUCAGGCCCUGGUAGGUGUGGCCCGAAUUCCUCAUAUGCUGCAUCCUUCUGA
rnacentral:lncRNA from 1 species